CCUACGGGAGGCAGCAGUGGGGAAUAUUGCACAAUGGGGGAAACCCUGAUGCAGCAACGCCGCGUGAGUGAAGAAGUAUUUCGGUAUGUAAAGCUCUAUCAGCAGGGAAGAAGAAAGACGGUACCUGACUAAGAAGCCCCGGCUAACUACGUGCCAGCAGCCGCGGUAAUACGUAGGGGGCAAGCGUUAUCCGGAUUUACUGGGUGUAAAGGGAGCGUAGAGGGCUGUGCAAGUCUGAGGUGAAAGCCCGUGGCUAAACCGCGAACCUGCUUUGGAACUUGAA
rnacentral:rRNA from 1 species